rnacentral:rRNA from 1 species
GAACGAUGAACCGGCUUCGGCCGGGGAUUAGUGGCGAACGGGUGAGUAACACGUGGGCAAUCUGCCCUGCACUCUGGGACAAGCCCUGGAAACGGGGUCUAAUACCGGAUACGACCCAUGAUCGCAUGGUCUCUGCGUGGAAAGCUCCGGCGGUGCAGGAUGAGCCCGCGGCCUAUCAGCUUGUUGGUGAGGUAACGGCUCACCAAGGCGACGACGGGUAGCCGGCCUGAGAGGGCGACCGGCCACACUGGGACUGAGACACGGCCCAGACUCCUACGGGAGGCAGCAGUGGGGAAUAUUGCACAAUGGGCGCAAGCCUGAUGCAGCGACGCCGCGUGAGGGAUGACGGCCUUCGGGUUGUAAACCUCUUUCAGCAGGGAAGAAGCGUAAGUGACGGUACCUGCAGAAGAAGCGCCGGCUAACUACGUGCCAGCAGCCGCGGUAAUACGUAGGGCGCAAGCGUUGUCCGGAAUUAUUGGGCGUAAAGAGCUCGUAGGCGGCUUGUCGCGUCGGGUGUGAAAGCCCGGGGCUUAACCCCGGGUCUGCAUUCGAUACGGGCAGGCUAGAGUGUGGUAGGGGAGAUCGGAAUUCCUGGUGUAGCGGUGAAAUGCGCAGAUAUCAGGAGGAACACCGGUGGCGAAGGCGG